CAACCUCAACUCAUAUGGGACUACCCCCUGAAUUUAAGCAUAUUAAUUAGGGGAGGAAAAGAAACUAACAAGGAUUUUCUUAGUAGCGGCGAGCGAAAAGAAAACAGUUCAGCACUAAGUCACUUUGUCUAUAUGGCAAAUGUGAGAUGCAGUGUAUGGAGCGUCAAUAUUCUAGUAUGAGAAAUUAAUGAUUUAAGUCCUUCUUAAAUGAGGCCAUUUACCCAUAGAGGGUGCCAGGCCCGUAUAACGUUAAUGAUUGCUAGAUGAUGUUUCCAAAGAGUCGUGUUGCUUGAUAGUGCAGCACUAAGUGGGUGGUAAACUCCAUCUAAAACUAAAUAUAACCAUGAGACCGAUAGUAAACAAGUACCGUGAGGGAAAGUUGAAAAGAACUCUGAAUAGAGAGUUAAACAGUACGUGAAACUGCUUAGAGGUUAAGCCCGAUGAACCUGAAUAUCCGUUAUGGAAAAUUCAUCAUUAAAAUUGUAAUAUUUAAAUAAUAUUAUUAAGAAUAAUGUGCAUUUUUUCCAUAUAAGGACAUUGUAAUCUAUUAGCAUAUCCCAAAUUUAUCAUAAAAUAUAACUUAUAGUUUAUUCCAAUUAAAUUGCUUGCAUUUUUAACACAGAAAUAAAUGUUAUUAAUUUGAUAAAGUGCUGAUAGAUUUAUAUUAUUACAGAGCGUUAAUUUUUCGGAAUUAUAUAAUGGCAUAAUUAUCAUUGAUUUUUGUGUUUAUUAUAUGCUCUUGUAUGAUUAACAAUGCGAAAGAUUCAGGAUACCUUCGGGACCCGUCUUGAAACACGGACCAAGGAGUCUAACAUAUGUGCAAGUUAUUGGGAUGUAAACCUAAUAGCGUAAUUAACUUGACUAAUAAUGGGGAUUAGUUUUUUAGCUAUUUAUAGCUAAUUAACACAAUCCCCGGGGCGUUCUAUAUAGUUAUGUAUAAUGUAUAUUUAUAUUAUUUAUGCCUCUAACUGGAACGUACCUUGAGCAUAUAUGCUGUGACCCGAAAGAUGGUGAACUAUACUUGAUCAGGUUGAAGUCAGGGGAAACCCUGAUGGAAGACCGAAACAGUUCUGACGUGCAAAUCGAUUGUCAGAAUUGAGUAUAGGGGCGAAAGACCAAUCGAACCAUCUAGUAGCUGGUUCCUUCCGAAGUUUCCCUCAGGAUAGCUGGUGCAUUUUAAUAUUAUAUAAAAUAAUCUUAUCUGGUAAAGCGAAUGAUUAGAGGCCUUAGGGUCGAAACGAUCUUAACCUAUUCUCAAACUUUAAAUGGGUAAGAACCUUAACUUUCUUGAUAUGAAGUUCAAGGUUAUGAUAUAAUGUGCCCAGUGGGCCACUUUUGGUAAGCAGAACUGGCGCUGUGGGAUGAACCAAACGUAAUGUUACGGUGCCCAAAUUAACAACUCAUGCAGAUACCAUGAAAGGCGUUGGUUGCUUAAAACAGCAGGACGGUGAUCAUGGAAGUCGAAAUCCGCUAAGGAGUGUGUAACAACUCACCUGCCGAAGCAACUAGCCCUUAAAAUGGAUGGCGCUUAAGUUGUAUACCUAUACAUUACCGCUAAAGUAGAUGAUUUAUAUUACUUGUGAUAUAAAUUUUGAAACUUUAGUG
rnacentral:ncRNA from 1 species